UGGCAGCCUGGCGUCCGCCAUAUUGAAUAUUACGCAGACUCUUACUGUGGAUGGAACGCCUCCUCUUACGGAAUGUUCACCUGUGCCUUAGUAUAAUUUUGAAGCGGGAAGCUUGAAAAACGCAUGACCCUUACGGUGAUUGCGAAGUUAGGAGUGAAUCUCAGACCUUCCUGAUUCGCUCAUAGUAAUUUUUGAGCAAUUUUCUAUGAGAAACAACUGUUCUUUUCACUCUAGCCAGAGUUGCCACAGAAUUUGGAAUAUUAAAUUCUUUGACACAUUUUGGAGGAAUUCCCUGACAACUGGACCAAUACCACAUUGUUAAAAAGGUAUGGUUAGAAAUAGUUUUCAGAUAAAAUUUGUUGUUCGAAACAUCAAACCCACUCGAGAUACCAAAUAAAUGUGACUUAACGAUUUUUCCCCCGAAACGCGCGUCGGUUUUUAGUAAUUUCACUGACUAGUGAGUUGUAAAAUUUUAUUUUAAAAUUUUAUUUUAUUUUAACUGUUUGACCUAGUCUGGUACUUUUAAAUUUUAAAAAAAAAAAAAAAAAAAAAAAAAAAAAAAAAAAAGAUUUUUCCCUGACAUUUUCGUCAUUUUCCCUGACAUUUCCAGGUUUCCCCUGACUUUUCUAAAUCCCCUAAAAUUUCCCGGUUUCCUGGAAUUCCCUGACUAUGGCAACCCUGUCUAGCUGGAGUUUGCAACAGGCCCACUGAACCUAAUCAGGCAAUGUUUUGGUAAAAUUGCGGGCGGUUAAAUGUUUUUUACUACAUAAGUGGAUGGUGGAGUGUGACAAUUCGACAACGUGGGUUGGCAAUGAUCCCUGGCCGGGCCCCAAUGGAGCGGGGCGACGGAAUUCCGUGAUUCAGGGAAACGAACCGGAUCAGGAAUAUAAAUGGACUUACAGAAGUGUGUACCGGGUCGGGCGGGCACCCAGAGAGAGUAAUUGUCACAUACCUGAAACAAGAUGAAAGUAGAUUAGAUAUUUUCACCGAUUAUAUCUUUUUCGGAGUGGGUGAGCAAUGUCGAG
rnacentral:lncRNA from 1 species